rnacentral:rRNA from 1 species
UACGUAGGGGGCAAGUGUUGUUCGGAUUUACUGGGCGUAAAGGGAGUGUAGGCGGGUUAUCAAGUCAGGGGUUCAAUGAUCAGGCCUAACCUGAUUUUCGCUCUUGAAACUGAUAAUCUAGAGUAUGGAAGAGGAAGAUAGAAUUCCAGGUGUAGCGGUGGAAUGCGUAGAUAUCUGGAGGAAUACCGAUGGCGAAGGCAGUCUUCUGGUCCAAUACUGACGCUGAGGCUCGAAAGCUAGGGGAG